UGGAGGGACUGCCGGCGACAAGCCGGAGGAAGGUGGGAUGACGUCAAGUCAUCAUGGCCUUACGGCCUGGGCUACACACGUGCUACAAUGGUCGGUACAAAGGGUUGCCAAGCCGCGAGGUGGAGCUAAUCCCAUAAAACCGAUCGUAGUCCGGAUCGCAGUCUGCAACUCGACUGCGUGAAGUCGGAAUCGCUAGUAAUCGUGAAUCAGAAUGUCACGGUGAAUACGUUCCCGGGCCUU
rnacentral:rRNA from 1 species